UAUAAGUUUCUGAUUCUCCAUUUUAUUGAUUUUGAAACGGCAUCAAUCCACUCAAACGAGCUCAUUGCUGCUAAUUGGCUAAGCUAUUUUUGGGGGGGUUAAAGUUGAAUUCAGUUAUUCAUUUUGUUGACAUUUAAGUUUUCAAACACUCUAUUAAUGCAGUUCAUUAUUCUUUAAUCUACGUGCAAAGUUUAGUUCUUUAGCUUGUGAUCGAUUGUAUUUGGUAAUAGUACAUGUCUUUUUUGCUUUUGGCAGGCUACAGGGCGCUCUUCGUACACUGUGGUGGACCACACUUAUGAUGCAGUGGUUGUCGGGGCUGGUGGUGCAGGGCUGAGAGCAGCCAUAGGACUUUCAGAGCAUGGAUUUAAUACCGCUUGCAUUACGAAGCUAUUCCCAACUCGUUCACAUACUGUUGCAGCCCAGGUGUGUGAUAUUGCAAUUUAAUCUGACUAUUGCAUAUAGCUUCACCGAGUUAAUGUGACUAUGUAAAUUCCAUAGUUUUGGUUUGGAUAUGGUUUACUAAUGCGUUGAGUUGUCUGUAGGGUGGCAUAAAUGCUGCAUUAGGGAAUAUGACAGAGGAUGACUGGAGAUGGCACAUGUAUGACACAGUCAAGGGAAGCGAUUGGCUGGGUAUGUUACUUGUUAAACAUGACACAUCUGUGGUUUUCAUUUCAUGUUGGGGAUGGGGUGUUAGACAGGAAACACUUGCUUUUAUGGAUUGUAUUUUAACUGUACAAGGAUUUCAUAGGCACUUAUUAUUCUUGCACCCCACUGUGCACAUGCAGACAGACAAACACACACUUUGUGGUUUUAUCUCUACUUUUUACAGUUGUCCUUUUGGUUGUAUUUUGACGUGUGAGCCUUUUGUGUUCCCAUAGGUGAUCAAGAUGCCAUCCAGUAUAUGUGUAGAGAGGCUCCAAAAGCUGUGAUUGAACUUGAAAAUUAUGGAUUGCCAUUUUCUCGAACUGAAGAUGGAAGAAUAUAUCAGCGUGCAUUUGGUGGGCAAAGCCUUGACUUCGGAAAAGGUAAGAUGAUGCAUCCAUGCAGGUUUGAACUUUGAAGAUCACGUGCCUAUCUCAUGAUUUCUGUUUAAAGCUGUCUGACAUUGGCUUCAUGUACUUUAUCUUGUUACCUUGUAGGUGGACAAGCAUACCGCUGUGCUUGUGCUGCUGACAGAACUGGUCAUGCUCUAUUACAUACUCUCUAUGGACAAGCUAUGAAGCAUAAUACACAAUUUUUUGUCGAAUAUUUCGCUUUGGAUCUUCUAAUGAACAGUGAUGGUAAGUUUAUGUGUAACAGAUGGGCACUUUCUUUGAAGAAAAAAUAAAUAGAAAUGUACAAGUUGUAAUCACUAUGUUGCUAUGUUUGCACUACUGGAAGAUGCAACCCUUUAUACAAACCAGAAGCAUAUCAGAAGUGAUUAAUCAUAUUCAAAAUUGCCUUUCAUGAGAAGAAAGUUUUGACAUGUUACUUGUGGAAUGAAGCUAGUUUCAUCACAUGUUCUUAUACGUAAAAGUCGGCAACUUUUAGUGUGUUAGUUAAGAUGUGGUAUAGUGACAUAGUUAAGAUGAGGUCCAUAUUUCAGCUGCGUAUAUGUUGAUGCUUUGGUAUAUUGAAUCAUUGACCAUUGAGUUCUUUUCAUCUCUUCCCUGGAUUGCUUGCAUGUUGAACAUCUUGUUCUGAGAUGUUCAACUGUGUCCACUUUAAAGAUUUACUAUUUUCUUGAUAGCAAUGCACAUACGAAAAUAUGAUAUAAAGAAUUGUUUUAUAUCAAGAGUGCUUUUCAUUAAGUUAAUUGUUGAUUGAUAUUGUAAUUCAGGGAGCUGCCAAGGAGUUAUUGCAUUAAAUAUGGAGGACGGGACUUUGCAUCGGUUCCAAGCAGCAUCAACAAUUUUGGCCACAGGGGUAUUUUUUCUGUUUUCUUUUUCCUUUGUUGGAGUUAUGUCAUUGAAGUUCAUCUUAUUCCAAUUAAGCAAUAAGAUCUGAAUCCAUAUUUUGUGUUUCUGGCAGGGUUACGGUAGAGCAUAUUUCUCUGCAACCUCAGCUCAUACCUGCACUGGAGAUGGUAAUGCCAUGGUCGCACGUGCUGGACUCCCUCUUCAGGUUUUUUAAUCUUUCCCAUUCUUGAGUCUUCAGUAGGCUUUUCCUUUUGUCAUUAUAUAUUUUCUUGUUUGGUAUGUCCCUUCUGCAGGAUUUGGAGUUUGUGCAGUUUCACCCUACUGGUAUAUAUGGUGCUGGGUGCCUCAUCACUGAAGGUUAGUGAUAUUUUGGUUGCAUUCUCGGCUAUGCAAUCUCAUCAUUUGAAUAUUUUGUUGUUUGUUAUCCUCAGUUAAUUAGAAGCUAGAAACUGAUAUUUUCUUCUUAUUUUUGCAAAUUGUAGGAUCACGAGGGGAAGGUGGUAUCCUUAGGAACAGUGAAGGUGAGCGAUUUAUGGAACGAUAUGCCCCUACAGCGAAAGACCUUGCUUCUAGGGAUGUUGUGUCAAGAUCUAUGACUAUGGAAAUCCGGGAGGGUCGUGGUGUAGGUAUGAUGUGUUCUGGAAUGACAUUGACCUUCAUCCUUGCUGACACUGCUGUCCUAUCUUUGUAUUCAGUAAUGAGAUGGAUCAUUUCAAUUAUUUCCUUGCUAUGCUUUUUGUGUGUCCUUUAGUAACUGUUACAGUUAUUUUUAUCAGGACCUUUGAAGGACCACAUCUAUCUCCACUUGAAUCAUUUGCCCCCAGAUGUACUCAAGGAGAGGCUUCCUGGUAUCUCUGAAACUGCUGCCAUUUUUGCUGGCGUGGACGUUACAAAAGAGCCUAUUCCCGUCUUACCUACUGUGCAUUAUAAUAUGGGUGGAAUUCCGACCAAUUAUCAUGGAGAGGUAUGAGUUAAUAUAUUCAUGUCAACUAGGCCUCUUAUGAUUUACUCAAGGGCCUACAAUGUAGUUAAAUUGGAUCAUCACUUAUUGAAUGAAUAGAUAUAAUGACUAAAAUUCCAAAGAACCAUCCUUUGAUUAAAAUAAGCAUAAACAAUUCUCUGAAAUACUGCUUUUCCUCACGAACAUGUUCUUUGUUUUUCAGGUCGUUACCAAAAAAGGUGAUGACCCAGAUGUAAUAAUUCCUGGGUUAAUGGCAGCUGGGGAGGCAGCCUGUGCAUCUGUGCAUGGUGCCAAUCGGCUUGGUGCAAAUUCACUCCUUGACAUUGUUGUUUUUGGCCGAGCUUGUGCAAAUAGAGUUGCAGAGAUCCAUAAACCAGGCAAGUUUGUUUUCAUGCUAAUGAAGAUAAUAAAUUAAUAAUGUAAAUGUGAGAAAAUCUUAAACGUCUCUACUUGAUCUUGUAUAGGGGAGAAACAACAGCCUCUGGAAAAGGAUUCUGGUGAGCAGACCAUUGCAUGGUUGGACAAAAUAAGGAAUUCAAAUGGUUCACUACCAACUUCGCAAAUCCGGUUGAAUAUGCAACGAAUAAUGCAAAAUAAUGCUGCUGUGUUCCGCACACAAGAAACAUUAGAAGAAGGUAUUCCAUUUCCCAAAAGUUACAACGCCUUGACCCCAUUUUGCCCUUUUUGGGUACAUAAAGUGGCUUUAUUGCUUACUCCUUCAACUGAAGAUCUCAUAUUUCAACCCAUUACCUUGAGCUAUAUAGAUUUCCCCUGAACUUUUAGACUGAAAAUCAAACACUAUUGCAACCUUUUAUGUACUCCCUUUUCUGUGUUCCUUCUGUAGGUUCUCAGUUGAUUGACAAGGCAUGGGAGAGUUUUGAUAAUGUUCAAGUGAAGGAUCGGAGUUUGAUAUGGUGAAAUUUUGUGCAUGAGAAUGUUGGCAAAUAAGUAAAUACAUUUUUUUCUUUUAUGAGCUAACAAUUUAACAUAUAUAUAUAUAUGUAAUUUUUUUACAGGAACUCCGACUUGAUAGAGACUAUAGAGUUGGAAAACCUUUUGAUAAAUGCCUGUGUCACCAUGCAUUCCGCUGAAGCCAGGAAAGAGAGCAGAGGAGCACAUGCUCGUGAAGACUUCACGGUUAGCCCUGUUGCUCUUGUUUAGAAAUGUCCUUUCCUUACCACUAUAUAAUGAAAUUUUCUCUGCUCUUGCAGAAAAGGGAUGAUGAGAAGUGGAUGAAACAUACUCUAGGGUAAGCCACCUUCGCCACCCCUCUCUAUUAUGAGAAAUAUGCAGUUCCCUAUUCGUGGAAUUUCAUUGUAUUGUAUAUUCUAAAUUAAAUUAUGUUCAUUUUUUGUGCAGAUACUGGGAAAAUGAGAAGGUCCGACUAGACUACAGACCAGUUCACUUGAACACAUUAGACGAUGAAAUCGAGUCAUUCCCACCUAAAGCUCGUGUCUACUGAGAUGUUUGCUCCGUUUAUAAUCGCGCUGAUAAUCUUUUUUACAAGCAUGUAGUGAACUCCCUAAGAAGAAAGAAGGCUGUUAAUUGUUGUAGUUGCAGCUUUUUGGCAAAUAAUUGUUGCAUUAAUCUGUGUUAAACUGAUGUGAUCCAAAGUAUUAAUAAUUUCAAUCAAGGAUUGGAAUGUCUAUUUUGCAGCAAAGGGGAAGAUUCUCCGAAUGUAUUUAAUUUUGAUAACCCAUUAAAUUGCCAGCAAAUUCAUGGAUGUGAUAUUGUGUUUUAGUCGAGAGCCUAUCCAGGCGAUCUGUUGGACUUGGGACUUGCUAAAGGUGAAUUUAUCAACAUAUAGCCGAUACCUUUUUAACAUUUGUGAAGCUGAAUUUAUACUCCGAAAUUGAAUCCCAAAAUGAUUGGGUUUACAAAACUAUGGUCUUAGUGUCGAUCUACAAGAGCAGUGAGUUUCCAAAUGUUUGCUUUGGAUUGGCCAAGGCCAAAAUAAUUUAAAUGAUUUAAAUCAAAUUUAGUCUCUGUGAUAACAAUAAAGUUGUUGAGGCAAGAUUUGAAAUCGGGGUAGGUACAUAGAUCCCUUCUACUCGUUUAGAAAAAGGCCACAUUUAGGUGAAGUUCUCAUUGUCUUCCCACCCUUUGUUUAAACUUUAGCUCUUGGUAUUAUUUGAAAGAAAGAGGACUAAAGGUGGCAAUGGAGGAACAAUCAGUCUCUUUGCAUUAUGUAGGAAAUUUGCUUGUUGAUGUUGGGAAGGAUUUUGCCACGUUCAGUCAUGCGUUCGUGCAUGAUCAGUUAUUGUAGUAGAUACAUUAGGACCCAUUUAGAUCUAUGAUCAACAAUCAAUUACACGUCUACCAUAAACGCAUGAUCAGUUGUUGAUCGUAGAUUCAUUAGAGACUCAUUUAAAUUUCCAAUUAACAAUCAAUCACACACAUGAUCAGUUAUUGACUGUAAAUACAUUAAAGACUCAUUUAAAUCUCCAAUCAACAAUCAAUCACACGAGCACCACCGCGACUAGCCCUAAGAGAGUUCAAUUGAAAAUUGCAUAGUAUUAAUCCCUCCUAUAAUCCACAAGCAACAGUGAAGAAUCAUGAAUUAACAAUGAGCCCAUCAUGUAAGGACAAAGCUAAGUUUUUAGCAGUCAAACAUGCAAUGGAGUGGUGUCUUGAUCCAAAAACUGCUUUAUUGGAAAUUCGAGUGUGCAUGGCUUGUAAUAAUGUAAGAGUUGAGUGAGAGAGUGAGAGAGUUAGUAACAAGUAGGCGACAAUGGUGGCUUUUAGUUGGACUAAAUGGCAUUCACAAAGACGUUGCUACAAUAUCACUGACUCACUACAUCUACAUGUUUCAUGAUGUUAGUGGGAGAAACUGUGCCCCCCUCACAAAAAUCAAAUAACUACUCAUUCAUAUUUCAUAAUUCUAACAUUUAUAUUUUAAAAUCAGUUGGGGUGAUUCGAUUAAUAUUCGGAGUGGAGUAAAUUAAAAUUCUUUUUCACUCGGUUAGACUCUGUUGAAAUACAAAAUCUCAAGUACAAAGGUAAAUACUCUUAACUAUUUAACUACGUUUGCAACUCUUCUUUUUGUUUUUGUUUUUAACUUUUUCAUGAGUGUUUCAAUUUAAUCCUGAAAUUAAGUACUCAUUAGUCAUUACGAUUACAGUCACUCAAGUUGAAUAUCAGCUUCAAUUAUAUGACCCACUUGGUGCGGAUGACGGAUGACGUUCUUGUCCUGUGAUUAUGAUGUUUGUUAUUGUCCUAAUAUAAUAUAAACUGUGUUUGGGAACUGAUUUCUAUAUUUCCUUACUAAUGGUUAAGGUGGUGAUGGUGGUGGUGGAAAGUCAUUUAUUUAAUUUAUCACGUUCUAAGACUAAGAAAGUGUCAUUAUUUUAAAGAGCCUUAAAUAUUUAGAAAACAUGUAUAGAACCUAACCUUAUUUUUAUAUUUAAUUUGUCAAAAUAUUAUGGGUUUUACAUGAUUUCUUUAAUAUAUUGAGUUUGAUAUCAUGUAAGAAAAAAAAAAAACCUCAAUUAGCUACUUGUUAUUUUCUAAUUGAUUCUUAACGUGUUACAAUUUUUUCACUUAAAAGUACAGCAAUAAAUUUUUCUAAAAUAUUGUAUUUUAAAUAUUUUAUUUAUAAAAUGUCAUGUAGACCUAUUUGUAAAAACUAUUGUUUCUUUACCUUUUACACAAUUGGUUAAUUGAAUUUGAAAAUAUAGAUUUUCCCACUUAGACAAAUAUACAUUGAUCAGUGUUUUUUUUUGCCCCUUUCUUUUUUGCACUAACUUGAUCAAAUGAUGACACUUGUAAUACAAAAUUAAGGGAUAUGCACUGUUGGGAUUUUGGUGGACCACAAAAGAGUUGGUGAACACUAAACAGGCAACAUUAAAAGACUAAUUUGUAUCCCAAAUUUGUAAAUAAGAUAAGUACAUAUAAAAUAAAUAAAAAAGUGUAUUACUACGCUCAAUUAUUAGCCAAAGUACUUAAGUACUUGAUCAUAAACCUGCAUUCAAUAUUUGAUUAUUCCCAACCCCAUUAACCAUUGUCUAAAGUUAGCUAUUAAAAUAUAUAUAUAUAUAGUUAUUCUCUUAUUUGAAUAUCUGUACGUUAUUAUUAUGCGAAUGCCAUUAUAAAUAAAUAAAAUAUAUAUAUAUUAAAAAAUAUAUAACGUCUGCACUAUAAUAACGUCCAAAUAAUAUUAUUGUAAUUAAUACGUCGAUCCGAAAAAAAGUUACGGUCAAUUUCCAUAACAUAAUGCAAAAGUUAUGUGGGAUAUAACAUGUCAUCAUAUGUAAGCUGUUUUUAAAAUAAAUAAAAACUUAAUUAGAAAAUAUUAAAUAUCUCUUUUAAGAGAUGGCCAUUUGCAGAACAUACAGUAUUGUAAUGCUAGUGGUUGUUGCUUUCAUUUUCGACUGAAUUUCAAAAUUUUCAACUAUCUCAGGCUAGCAACAGCCUCGCAGCUAUUAGCCAUACCUCUAUAACUUUUUAAAACAAAGCACUAUUUCAGUGCUGGAUCUUAAUCAGAUUGUUGACUAAGCUAUAAGCUACUUAAUGCUUAAUUAACCCAUCGUGAGUAAUUGUUAUAUGCGUAUACUCUAGUGCUCUAUGAGUUAACCCUAAUUAUUAAUGGUUUAGUUUCACUAACUCUUUCUUUUUAUGACCUUUUAUAUUGAGAGGGGCGAUAGUAUACUAAACUUAUACACACUAUACGGAUGCUAUGACUCAAACCCAUGACCUUACCGGAGGAAGUAAAUACUCAAAACCACUACACUAGUGAGUCCUUUAUGCCCAAUUAUUAAUUUUAGUUGUUCAUAAUAGCUUUCUACCCUAUUAUCCUAGCUAUUGAUAUCUUCUGAAUUUGAAGCCUAUACUGCAGACUGACCAUUCACUUAUAUUGCAUUAGGCAGAUUCAACUGUACAAUUAACUAUUAUUGAAUUGGUCCAGCUGCUCACUAUACAAUUCGAACCCCCCCCAAACCCUAAAUUUAGGCAACAAAUUUGAUUAUGAUUAUUUAUAGACUCGUACUUCACAAUUCUUUCUUUUUUAAAUACUUUCAAAAUCCAUAAACUGGACGUAUUAAUUAUGAUGAUUUGCUUACGUGAUGCAAUAGCUAAACUACCAAAGAUUCACAAUUGUUUCGAAUAUGAAGAAGGGGAAGCUAGCGUCAUUAAGAAAUAUGAUUGAUUAAAAAAAGUGAAUCAGUUAUAUAACUUUUCUCUCUUGCAACAUGCAUGUAAAAAUCACAUAUAAAUUAAUAGUAGUGUAAUAGAUAUCUAUAAGUUACGUAUAUAGUAAUUAUUGCUAUUGCGAAGUAGAAUCAUGAGAAUAAGUAGCAUAAAUCUUGAUUAGAUAGUGAGAAAUGAGAAUUUGAGAACCUUGGGCUAAACUAAAUUGAAGGUGUGAAAAGUGGAUGGAGAAAAAGAAAUGAUAAAGGAGGAUGUGCAUCCGUUGUGGGUCUAGUCCAACUGAGAAAGAUAAGCUAAGCAAUGGAUUGCUUUGAUUUCUUGUCUAAUCAACCCAACUAGUGACGGCGGACUAAGACCUCUAAUCUUUGUCCAUUUCGCUUUUACAUCAUUAAUUGAUAAUCUUAAUUAGAGAGCCAGAAAAAAAAUAUAUAUAUAUAUUUAAAAAGUAUAAAGGGUUCUUUCACAGCCUUUCCCAUCUACAACACUACCUCAAAUCCACGUCCCAAUUGCCGAGUCAUCAUCACUAAAAACAACUCAUUUGGUUGACCUCUACUUAUUAUCACAACUUAAUUCGGAGAAAAAAUUUUCUACCACUUGUUUGUGUUUUUAAACGUGACAAGAGAUAUAAAAAUACAAUUAUAUAUGACUGGUUAUGCCUAAAACUUUCCCGAUUCAUUUGCUCUGACGCCAACAAGGACUUCUGAUCUCAACACCGAAAUUACGUACUUCCCAAAAACCUAAAAUUGUGAAUUGAAUGACUAUUUUCCAACAAAAAUACAUUUCAACAUAAUGAAUCCAUUGACUUGCACCACCAACACAUGUCUCAGAUUCUGAAAAAGAAAUUUUGGUUCUCACUUUUUUGAAUCUUUGAUUAUAUAUAUAUAUUUAUUUAUUUAUUUUGCAUUUGAAUGAAACGUAACAUAAGAAAUCACGUUAAUGUGGUAGACAUCUCCACCAGCACCACCACCAAAUUCCGAAAGCCCACCGUGGACGUUGCUUUCACUGGGUUUGUUGCCCGUUGGUUUGUUUGUUCCACGUCAAAGUUUCGUGCACCGUUGCUUUUCUCAGUUGUUGCAUUUUGGUUGGUCCAAGAUUGUCCACGUGGGACCACACUGUACCCACUUUUCCUCAUUAGUCCUUGACAAAGAGGGCCCAUGUAGUCUUAAAGUGGGCCCACCGACCGGCCAAAAAGAACGGACCCCAAUCUGCCUGCGAGUCUCUCCCUCCCUCCCCACUUUGCCCCAUUAAAAAAAGCCCACUCCAAAUUUUCACCUUUCUAUGCUCUUUCUUCCUUUUUUUUCCCUUAUCUCCACCCUUUUUUAUCUAAGAAUCACCCCUUCCACCCCCACCCUUGGGCCUUGACUCACUUUUUAUCUCUUGACUAUACUUUGCAUUGUGUUCUCUUUUUGAUCUAGUUUCAUGCCUUAUAAAAUUGUUUUGUUUUUACAUUAAGGAAGGAGAGGAAUUCGAAUUUGGGUUUCUUUCUCGUUCCACCUCAUUCGAUAUUUAAAAUACACAUAAUUAAUUUGAAACUAAUUGUUGAUUUAUCGAAUGAAAAAUAGUACUACUACAUUAAUUAUAUUUGAAUAUUAAAGUUUGAUAAUGAUAUGAUGUGGUGCUUUCUUUCAUAAAAGAAUGCUAACGUCAGUUAUAAGUGGGCACGUGAAGUAAUUUCAACCAUUGAUGAUUAUAGAUCAUUAUAGAUCGUGGCGUGACUCAGAUCAGCAUAACACUUUGUACUUAGUUGGAAUUGAGACCACUACAAAACUUCACUUAGUUUUUUUUUUUUUCUUUCGAAAAAUUUGAUUUAGUUCUAAUAGGAAAUGUUUUUUUUUGUUUCUGUUUUGUCGAUUUCUACUAGGAAAAGUAGUAGAGACACAUCGUGUAAUGUUUAAAUCCAAAAAGUAAUUAUGGCUAAUAAAUCUAUUCUAAACUCACCUCACCUCACCAUUCGUUGUUGUUGGAUUCACAUUUUUACCUUUUGACUCAGGUCCACGACUAAACUACAGUAAUUGCAUGUCGUACGAAGCGCCAACUGUAUACACGCAUCGGGCGUAAGAGAUGAAGCAGACAGGUAACGCAGUCCGUUUCUGUUUUUGUGUAAGUCAGAGAAACGAGCGGCCAGGAUUCGCUCACCUUUUCCCUAAAAGAUCAGACCCCAUGACGUCAGUCGUAGACGGUGACAUGGACGCGCCGUUUAAAAUCGAGAGCCCCUGGGUCCCACAUGGCCCGAACACAGCGGGAGGAAAAUAAAAAAAACCUACACACGUGGACGUUCGUGACACGGUGUUGUCAUAUUUGAGUAGGCGGGGCCCACUCUCAUAUGGGCGCCACGUCACUGAGGGAGAAAAAAAGAAAAAAAGGAAAAAGAGAGCGCAGAAAAGAGGGCCUAGGUUUUUUAGUAGGGGAGGGUGGGAGAAGGUGGUUCCCUCUACUCUCAUGAUUUCUUAAUUUUUCAUUUUUUUGGUUUUCAAAAUUGGGAAGGCCUUUCUUUUUUAAUCUUUUUGCGAAAUGAGGAAGUGGGUCCCACACCGUUGCUGAUUUUGGAUGGACUUUAAUCAGCUCCAGCAGCCAGCGAGCCAGCGAGCGCCUUGGGUUUGGUUUUUGGUCCUCCUUCCGGGGUUCAAGUACUUUGAAAGUUUUAAGCUUCAGCUGCUCUGCUUGCUUUCUCCUUCUUAAAAUCCUGUUUAUUUAAAUAAUAAACCAAAGCUCUGCUCUAUACAAACGUCUACUCUCUCUCUCUCUCUCUCUCUCUCUAGCUCAGCAAACCAAGUUGUGAUCCCGUUGUUUCUGGACCUCCAGUUGUGUAUGUACCACUCUCUCUCUCUCUCUCUCUCUCUCUCUCUCACUAUAUAAAGUCUCAGUCUUUCACUCUGGAACUCACUUGGCUGCUAUGUUCUGAUUGUGGGUUUGUGUUGUUGUAAUGUGAGUGCAGCGGUUUCCGGUUGGAUUUGGCCGGAGAAUGGCAUAUAUGUGUGCAGACAGUGGCAAUCUAAUGGCGAUUGCUCAGCAAGUCAUCAAGCAGAAGCAGCAGCAGGAGCAGCAACAACAGCAGCACCACCACCACCAACAGCAGCCGGUCGGCGCUUUCUCUCUCACUCCCUGGCCCAACAACACUCACAGCCCCAAUUUGGGCUACGGAUUAACCGGCUCGGGGUAUACCGACCCGUUUCAGCUUUCCGGAAGCUCUGACGCCGGCGGGGAGCCGGGGUUUCCGUUUCCCAACUUGGAUCACCACCCCACUGGGUUCCGGUUUUCUGAUUUAGGCGGCGGUGGCGCGGCCGAGUUCGACUCGGACGAGUGGAUGGAUAGUAUCAUAGGCGGUGGGGAUUCAACGGAUAGUUCUAAUCUGCCCUCUGCUUGCGACACGUGGCAUGGCAGCAAUGCUGAUUUCGGUCUCUACGGUGCCGAUCCAUUCCAACCCCCCUGCCCGAGUCGACUCAGCAAUCCCUGCUCCCCACCGUCCGAUCUCAACCGAGUCAUCUUCUCUGAAACUCAGAACCAGUUGCCAGCCUGGACAGCCCCUCCUCCGCCGCCACCAGCACCGCAUGUUGUAGUCAAACAGGCCAAAUCAGCAGACCCUCCUCCGCAGCCAAACGAAGCCGUCGGGGUCUCGUCAAGGUCACCGGAGAUCGAGUCAGCGCCGCCGCUACUGAAGGCCCUACUCGACUGCGCCCGGCUAGCCGAGUCCGACCCGGACCGCGCCGUCAAAUCACUGAUUCGACUCAGAGAAUCGGUCUCAGACCGCGGAGAUCCAACUGAAAGAGUUGGUUUUUACUUCACCGAAGCGUUGCAGAGCAGAGUGUCGUCUCUGCAAUCGGAGAAAAGCUUGGCGGCCACCACGACCUACGACACUGCUUGCGAAGACUUCACUCUCUCUUACAAGGCCCUAAACGACGCUUGCCCCUAUUCCAAGUUUGCCCAUUUGACUGCGAACCAGGCCAUUCUCGAAGCGACGGAGAGAGCGACGAAGAUCCACAUAGUCGACUUCGGAAUCGUCCAAGGGGUCCAAUGGGCCGCUCUGUUGCAGGCCUUGGCGACCAGGUCAACCGGAAAGCCCAGCAGAAUUCGGAUCUCCGGCAUACCGGCUCCGUCUCUGGGGACAUCUCCCGCGGCCUCGCUUUUUGCUACUGGAAAUCGACUGCGCGAUUUUGCCAAGCUUCUGGAAUUGAACUUCGAGUUCGAACCGAUUCUCACUCCGGUUCAUGAGCUCGACGAGUCGUGCUUCCGGGUAGAACCGGACGAGGCCUUGGCUGUGAACUUGAUGCUCCAAUUGUACAACCUACUUGACGAGACUCCAACGGCGGUUCAAUCGGCUCUGAAACUAGCUAAAUCGCUGAACCCGAAGAUUGUGACUUUGGGCGAGUACGAAGCGAACUUGAGCCGGGUUGGGUUCACGAGCCGGUUCAAGAACGCGUUGAAGUACUACACCGCGCUGUUUGAGUCGCUGGAGCCGAACAUGACCCGAGACUCGCCGGAGAGGCUUAAAGUGGAGAAGCUUUUACUGGGUCGUCGAAUUGGCGGCGUGGUUGGGCCGGAGCAACCGGGAACCAAGAGAGAACGGUUCGAAGACAAAGAGCAAUGGAAGUAUUUGAUGGAAAGCUCCGGUUUUGAGCCGGUAGCUCUUAGCCAUUACGCAGUGAGCCAGGCCAAGAUCCUGCUUUGGAACUACAACAAUUCUUUGUAUUCUCUAAUUGAAUCUCCACCGGGGUUUCUCUCUUUGGCUUGGAACGAAGUUCCUCUGUUCACUGUUUCAUCAUGGCGUUAAUGGGUUUUGCUUCAAUUUGGGAAUUGGGUUUUUCACCAGGUCUUUUAAUACUGGGUGGAAGCCUAUUAGUUUCAGUACGCCAUUGACAGUGGUCUUAGUUCAGUGCUUCUUCUUCUUCUUCAUGAUCAGAAAUGGAACUCAAGACUGCCCUAGUGAACUUACAGUUAGUAUUUAUUUUACUUCAGCAUAUAAAAUCACCUCCACCACCAUCACUCUUUUGAGCUUUUUGGGUCACAAAUUGCUUGUUAAUUUUUGUAGUUUCUUCCUAGUUUUUCAUCAUUCUCCAACGUUAUCAUGGUCUUCCCUGGUUUUUUUUUGUUUUUUUGGUUGGGGUUUUUCUUACAGGUUUGAGACUCUGAAAUAUGACUAAUUGUAAAAAAAAAAAAGGCCAUUGAAAAUCAAGGGGUAACAAGGUUCUGUCCCCUUUGUUGUCUGUAGUUUCUGUAUGUAAAUUUGAAUCUUCAUAUUGAAUUUAGUUUCUAUUUCUUCAGUUCAGCUUCAUUCUUUUGUCCAACAAAGAUUAUUAUUACCGUCAGAAAUGGUUAAUUGGUGAUCUCAUUUUUGUUUUUUACAUUAAAGCUUGCACUUUUCGAGUAUUCUGGCUUUAUGGCUGCAAGUUUGGUUUACCUCACAGAGGCUGUGGCUCUGCAAUUUAUUUCAAUGCCUAUGCCAUCAGGCAGGCAUCAGAUUUUUGUGACCUGCAGCAGCAGUAGCAGUGUGUAAUAGAUUUCUGACAGUUUUAAUUGCCUCAUUAUCCAUCAGGUUGUCUCUGUAAGACUGUAAUUAGGGUUUGAUGAAGACCCAUUACCUGCGCGUGCAAAGCUGUGAUUUCUGUAAUUGGUCUCUUGAUGAAGACGACCUGCUGCAAGUGAUCUGCCAGCAGAGAUCUUUUUUACUCCUGCUGCUCAACUUUCCAUAUUCAAAGGCUGCUGCUUUUGUUUCUGCCUCGUAAUCAAUUUCCUUAAACCAGCGCAAAAGACAAUGAGUUGGAGUUAAAGCAACUUAGCAAUUUGCUUGAGCAUUGGAGUUUCUCGCCCAUCCAAUGUGUAAAUGUGUCUAUAUUUUCAAUCCAUGGGCCAUGUUUUCUUCCUGAUUAUGAUAUUAAUGCAUGUCCCUUUCACUCUGAGAUCAGUCCUCUGGCUCUCUUGCUUACAGACUUGGGGAUGAGAACCAACCCCUUUCCUAGUCUCUCUCUCUGAACAAAAUAAAUGGGCCAAAAGCAUGACAAAGAAGGCAGUGGCACUGCAUGAUAAUGCUCUGCUUAUGGUCCGAGUGACUGUGACCAUUCAAGCCUCAUUGUAAAAGCUACGUUUGAGUAUAUAGAAAUUUGAUUUGCCUUCUAGAGUAGGGUCCCAUUUAAACCCAAAAAAGAAAAAAAAAAAUUAUAAAUUAUAAAUAAAUAUCACUAUGUGGGGUUUGGUAUAAGUAUCUUUCAAUAUCUCUUGCUCUAUUACCCGUAAAAAAACAAAGCACUCCCUCUUAUGUCGUCCUCAGCAGAAUAACACCAUAUUGAAUUGCAAAGAAAUGGACCCUUUAAGCCCCUCUGCUGGUCUGGCACUAUCCUGUGAAAUGUCCUUCUCCUCGUAACUGGAGAAGUGAUUUGGCAAUUUAAUUACUUGAAAGAGGCCUUUUUCAUCACUAAUUGCACCCGAGACCCCUUUGAUUUGGGAACUUGACAGCUAAGGCAGUGGUUAACUGGUUAUAAAUAGUUCGACUGGAAAAUUUUAAACACACAUUUUUCAGUCAAAAGCACUUCCUACACGUAUUAGUAUAAGAUAGGUAGGAAAAUAAGACACGGGGUGAAAAUAGCAGUACCCGUUGAGUUUCAUAUUUGUUUUUCUUUUUUUAUAAAGAAAAAGUAUAGUGUGCUGGUCAAAAACUUAAAUUGAGUCUUUUGGGAUUAGAUUAACCAGUACUUGAGACAAUUACUAAACAUAAUUAUCUUUUAGACUUUAGUGAGGCGCUUCUAAUGGUAAAAAAGAAGGAUCAAUUAAAAGGAGGUCAUAUAGUGUGUGAAGUUUUUGUUGAUAAUUUGCGUACAGUUUGAAGAUGAUGUAGUUAAGUUACUUUACAGCUUUGGGGUUAAAAGGUGAGAACUUUACUACAACGGUAAUGAAACAGUGCACAUUGGAGAUUUGGUAACAUUUGAACAAGUCACCUUGACUGGUCUUUCAAAACCUACAGUACUUGACAGAUAGGAUUGGUUGUUGCGUGCAAUUGCAUGAGUCUCAUCAACCCAAAUUCAUAUUUGGAGGGAUGCAACUGUUUCACUGUUGUGAGUGUCUCACAAACGGAGAACAAUUUUUGUGUAACAGGACGUCACGUUAACAGCAUUUUAAGUCAAUCACAUACUGUCACGUGGAAAGACGAACAUCAACAUUAUGAUAGGGUACCAAAUCAGUUGCCUAUGAGAUUUUUGAGGCUUUUAAGCCUACACAGUGAUCAAACCGUCACACCACCACUAGAAAGAGAGGCUGUAUUGGCGAGAGGCGGUGACUGCUGCUGUUGCGCAAUUUGCAAAUAGAGCAGGAAGGAGAUUUUGGUGGUACACUUUUUCACUAGGGUACUGGUGAUGAAUUUGACGUUUUUGGGAGGGUGAUUUUAUCAGAGAUGAGCAGAAUGUGCUCUGACGAUGACAUCAUGCAUGGGGCAGAGUGGUCCCAUCCCAGCCUUGUGCUUCUUCCUUCUGGAGGGAGGGAGGGAGGAGACAUUGGCGAUUGUGUUGUUACUAUCAAAAUGUAAAAGUGACAUGUCAUCUAUACACAGUGGCUGACUGGGUCAUGACUCAGAUGUAUGCAUGUGUUGUGUAUUUAUACUAUUGCUAUUGCGCAAGGAGACGUGUUCAUCUACGUCGACGACAAUAUCAUCUCAUAUUUGAAUCAACUCUGUGAUCAUACUUCAGUUUGAUUUCUAACUUUUCUGAAGUGAUCAAGAGGGAUUGUUUUCUUAAUUGCAAGAUUAACCUACACCAUCAUCCUCUAAAAUAAGUAAAUAAUUUGAAUUUCAAUUGAUACAUACAUUGGUGUGUUACGGAAUAUAACAACUACAAAUAAUAAAAAUAUUAAGGAGUGGAGUGUUGAAAUGGAGAGAGUAAACAUACGUCUCAUUUACGUUCCUAAGCUUCGACACAAAACUUAUAUGGAAAAUUAUUCUACCAAAAAGGAAACAAUCAAAAUCAAAAUCAUUUUUAUAUUCGGAGUUGUUCUUCAUUAACUUCAAAUUAAGUCCGAAACAUUUAUAGAAAAUAACCCAUUAAAGCUAGAAAAAAAAAAGGAAAAUUGUCUGCAACACGUCAAAGUAUAAUCGGUAAAUAUCAAAGAGGAAUGAUUCGUUCCAUGUAAGGAACAGCCUUAGUAGUCUUGUACUAGUAAUUAGCAGUUAUAAUUAUUGUGUUAGUGAAUGUAACCAAAAGAUUAGAAGUUGGUGCUAAGUUCAAUAAGCAAUAGUCAUGGUCGACAAUUGAGGCUAUAGCCUACUUUGUGGGCAAAGAAAGUUUGGGCUACGUUAGGGGUAAAUGAAUUUUGGGCUUUUCUCCCAAGGAUUGAAAACGCAUCCAAUUUUGGGCUAUAGGCUAAGUUUGUACAUUGUGUUCCAAAAAUUUAUCAGAUGGCUAAUGUAGGGAGAUAUUAAUUUAUUAGAUGAUAGUUUCUUUUUUUCUUUUAUAGUACGUCAAUUAUUGAGACAGAUAUCUAGAAAAAUACACGUAAUAAAGAAAAUUUUAUUAAAAUAACUAUUUAGAAAAAUAUAAUUACCUGUCUAACAGGGAAAAAAAUUAUAGUCUUUUUUUUUAAAAAAAAAACACUCUUAGAGCCGUUUUUAUUUUGAGGAGGAAGCCAUUAUUCUUUCUCCCCUCUUCUCUUCCUCCCUUCACCUCUUUCUUCAUUUUCAGAUACAAAUGGUUUACUCUAUUUGUAUUUGUUUUAUUAUGAUUUUCAUCCAACCUAUACAGGCAGCUGCGAGAGCUUGUGCGGUUUCUUUAUGUUUGGAAUAAGUUACAGAAACUCUUUGAGUUCUCUGUGUAGUUUUCACCUCUCAUUUGUGAGAGUUUUAUUUGUACUGUUAUGACUUGAUUUUUUCAAGCCUUAUAUCUUUUUAAUUAUUCUAAGUUUGCAAUCUUAGUUGGGAUGCCUAUGCCAAAGUUUCUUCCAUCAUACAUGAUCGUUAGGUGAGACGCAUCAAAUUGUCUUAAUUUCGUUAUUACAAUGGCCUUUUUCUGGCUAAUUUGUAUUGAUCUUUUGUGGCCAAAAGCUUUUUUGACUGAAUUAUGAAUGCAAUCAUAUAAUUUUUUAAUAAUAAAUUUGUUAUAUAUAAUUACAACAUAGAAUAUAUAAAAACUUUAUAAAUCCCAUGUAACGCGUUUGAUGAAAAAAAAAACUAAUUAUAAAUGAAAAAUAUAAUUUACAACUAAGUUUAUAAAACUAGUACAAUGAAUACAUAUCUGAUGUUACUUUAGUGCAACGAAUUAAACUAGUACAACAAAUAAAUAUCUGAUGUUAGACCUUGGCGGUGCUCUUCCUUAUCUUCUACCAGGACAAAAUGUGCCAGAAGAUUCAAUGGGUUGUGACGAUGGACGACAUGGACAGUUGAAAGCCCACGUACACAAAUUUUCCUCUCAGACAAGAGACACCUGUCCACUUUAUCGCCACGUGUCAUGACUUGAAAUGAAAAAAUUCCCCUACAAAAAUGGGACACAAUUGUGCUGGCUGCAUCCACAGCACUACACCGGCAUAUAUAUAUAUAUAUAUAUUUAUAUAUAUAUUUAUAUAUAUAGAAAGCGGUAGAAGUUUGAAGAUGCCAAAGAUGAUUAAUGCAUUCAAAACAUUCAGAACCCAAUCAGCAGCUUUGACAUUCUCGACGCCUCUGCCGCCGCCGCCAGGCUUGGGACGGAAAGCUUCCGGGGUCCGAUUCAAACAGACCACAACCCUGCGCUCCAGCGAGUCCGAUAGUGAGCACAACAUGGACAAGCCAGAGCCUAACCCUACUGAGAAAACUAGGUAAGUGGCUUUAUACCAUAUGAUUAAUUAUCCCAUUUUCUUUGCAAGUAAGUUGGAUGUGUAUUUAAUUUAAGUUGGCUAAUGUUAUUUGAAUGUACAAUAUUUAUAUAUUAGGGAUAGGGACAGUUUGUCACAUUCAUUUGGGGAGGGGUAUGCGACGAGGUGCGAUGACGAUGGGUUCGGAGUGGUAUAUGGGGGAAUCCGGUCAGUUCCAAAGACGGAGCAGGAUGACAACCACCCUGCUGUGGACAAGUCACAGGGAAGUGAGGUGCAGGAGAAGGAGAAACCGCGACACCAGACAAAUGCUUCAUCCUAACUAAACUAAUAUAUACGAGAGUCGACUACAUAUAUAUAUAUAUAUAAAUAUAUUUGCAGUGCUUUUAUAUAGUGUUUUCUUAAUUUCUGCUAAUCCGUUUUAUGAAGCGAGGAGGACGACCCAUGUUACUAUUUGUAUUGACUGGCUCUAUAUCUAGCUAUGUAAUGUAAAUGUGAAAAUCUAGAAACGCUUUCAAGUUGGGUAAUAAUUAAUCGAAACAUUUUGAGCAUGUAUAUUGGCGAAUAUUUCUACAUGGUGGUGUAAUCUGAACUUACAAAAAUUGCUCGAAACAUCGGAACAUACAAAAGUUAAUCGAAAUAUUUUGAGCAUGUGUAUUGACGAAUAUUUUUACAUGUUGGGGUAAUCUAAACAUACAAAAAUUACUUGAAACAUUUUGGGCUUCUACUUUUGGCUAUCUUGGUUUUUGGGCCUCUAGUAAAGUGUUGAAUUUAUAUUAGUAGGGGAUGAAGUAGACUGAUUUUAAUAGCAAUGGCUACCACUUGUGGUUGCCAAAUUCCACCACUACGUGUCAUGACAUGAAACUAAAUUUCUCACUGAAAUCAGGAUCAAUCCCCAUUGAACCGGACACAAUUUGGUGAUUUUUUGGCCUCACCUUUCACCGCCAUAUAUUCACUGCCUCAUCCUCGGUUAUGUUGUGUGUUUUCGUGCAUAAAUAGCAACCAGCAGAAAUUCCUACGAGGUACGCAAAACAUGAUUCAUGCAAUAAGAUCACUCAGAACCCAAUCGCCCUCAAACUUGGUCCAAAAAGCUUCCGGGGUCCGAUUUAGGCAGAACGCAACUAUUUCUACUGAUCCAGAUACUAAACAUAACAUGGACAAGACACAAAACCCUAACCAGCAGAAAACUGGGUUAGUCUACACAUUUCUUAUUGUUAUCUCAUAUGUUAAACUUCUCGAUUUUUUGGUUUUUGUACACUACUCGGUGCAUUGUCAAUAUUCAAUCGGUAUUUCCCACAUCACACGAGAAUAUCGACAAUAUAUCAAAUACGGUAUAUAAUCAACUGUUUAUGAUGAUUGAUACGGAUAUUCAAAUGAUAUUUCUCACAUCAAAUGUAUAAAUCAAUUGACUUGUUGUGUAAGUUUGAUUCGUUGAUUCAUAAUAAGGGAUUAGUAUUACUAAUUUGGGUACUACAUUUUGUUUGUUGUAUAUUCAUUAGAGAUGCGAUGUCUCAUUCAUUUGGGGAAGGGUAUGCGACUAGGUCCGAUGAGGAAGGAUUUGGAGGGGUAUUUUCAGGAAACCAGUCUCUACCGAAGACACAGCAGGAUCAGCUGAUCCAUGAAAACCACCCUGCGUAUGACAAGACGCAGGGAAGCGAAGUGAAGGAGAAGGAGAAAGGACGACACCAAACCCAGGCCAAUGCAUCAACAAACUAAUGAAGGUGCCCGCGAGCGGAUUGAUCUGUGUGGAUUCGGUGGCCUUUCUAUAUAAUUCCUUUUCAUUUUGCAAAUUAUUUUUAAUUUAAUUUGUUGGUUAUAUGUUAAUACUUGGAAAGGCUUUAAAGUUCGUAAUAAUUUCAUUCAUUUAUCGAAAUUAUCGUUGGAUUAAAGUUUUCUUUUAAUUGAUCAUUUGCUUCAAUCUGCAUUUGGAUUUUGUAAUAAUUUGCACGUAGAGUUCAUGGUUCCUAAAUUUAAAAAAAGAAAAGAAAUUACUAUUAAAAAAGGAGGCCAGUAUAAUUCGAAGGCAAAAUCCAAACGGAACACAAGCUCAAGACCACCACUACAAUCCUAACCCAAAAGCCUAAUGUAAGAGUAAAAAAAAAAGCUUUUAUGAAGGAUUUUGUUGAUAUCUUUUGGCCCGAAAAAUGAUUAUGUUAGAAUUACGAUAGAGAAUCAAAAGUUCGAUGAACUUCGUAGGUAAGUGAAAUGUAAAUCAUGCAUUAUGAUAGAGAAAUGUCAGAGCCAUAUAAGGAUUAUAAACAAAUUCAAAAUAACCUCAUGCCUAGAAUCCCUCAUUGUAUAUUCGUAAACCUUCUUUUGUGAGUUACCAUGUGAGGAGAACGAUAGAAAGAAGAAGUAUACACUUAAUUAUAUGUAAGUUUUUUUCGAAAGAGAAGGAGGGAUAGUCCUACGUCAAGGUUAACCUAGACUAUAUCCUAAAGUGACUUAUUAUUUUUAGCCUAAAAUAAUACCCCAGCCUUCCCUUGCAAGCCCCAUACACUCAUCCCACAUAAACAAAAUCUCAUUAACUAACUCCACAAGAAGUCUUACCAACAAAAAAAAAGGGAAAAACAAAAUUAACCCACAUGUGACAACACCGUCCCAACCAAAUAAAAUCCUAUUAACAAACCUAUGUUAUUCUUGAAGAGUUAAUUAUAGCAAACUAAGGUAAUCUUCAAUUCUUCAUUUCCUUUUCUUCUCCAAAUGUGUGGAUGUUGAACUUUUGGAGAUUGUUUAGGGUUUAUAAAGUAUCAAUGAGGAAUUUACAAUUAAGAAUUGUGAAUUAUCAAACAAGACGUGUAAUUGAUUUUGGUGUUCUUGCUUGCUUGUAUGAAUUAUCAAUUGAAGAUUUAGUUGAUCUAUAUAUUUACAUCUAUAUAUUAUUCAAUAGGUUAUACUUUAUAGUGUUGAAUCAAUAUCGAAAUGUUAAGAGAUCAUAGACUCUUAGAUAUCAAGAUUUGCAAUUAAUUUGGGUGUUCUUGCUUGCUUGCAUGUUUAUUUAUUGUUUUUUGUUUCCUUACAUGUACUAGAUGCAUUUUGAGGGGGGAGGCUCAUUAUGUUCCCCCUGAAUAUUUUUUUGUUAUCAAUAAAAUUCACUUGUACAGUCAAAUUUUCUAUCAAUUUAGCAUAUUUGUACAUAUAAAAUAAACAUAGCCCACACUAUUUUAAAAUUCUGAAUCCGUUCCCAGAGGAGGAUAUGUGAGAAAGGAAUUCAAAACUAUAUUGAGAAAAUGGAUGGUUUAUUUUAUUUUUCUUUUUCUUCCUCACAUUUUUAUUUUAAAUAUCUUAUGAGGUCAAUACUUACGUAUAGUCAUUGGAGGCACCCCAUCCCUUAGUGAUUAAAUAAUUUUCACUACACACAUGUCCCCUUUCCCCCAUGUGGCACCCCGGUUCAAAAUCAUAGCCGUGCAAUCCUAAGGAAACCCGCUAAUAUAUAAUCCCGAUUUAAAUUAUUCCGGACCGGUAAUAUCGAGCAUGACCCGUUGCAAACGUCGAAUAAUCUAGAAUAAAAGAUAACAAAUUGGCGCGACAGAAAACUAAUUGUAGUAAAAAGCUGGUAAGGUAGUAAAUUCGCGCGAGAGAAACCUAAUUAUAGUAAGAAACCUGAUAAGGACGUGAAUCCGAUUCCCAGACAAAAACGGUAACGUGUUGUAUAAUAAAUUCAAAAAAGGAAAGUGCUUACGAAAAACGCAAAGGUUUACUUUUCUCUGUCUCCAGCGCAUCGGAGACGUGUACAAGUGGACCACCGCCGAAUCCACCAAACCAUGCGAUUUCGUAUUAGCCGUCGAUCUUAAAUAUUAGAAAUCAAUCGCAACCGUACAUCCGCUUUUAUCCUAUUAUAAAAGUACGUUAGGGUGUCUGGUUCUAAAUCAUUCAGCGCCUCAACGUUCUCUUUCUCUCUCCUCACGACUCUAUGAGCCUCCUCGGUUCUUCUUCUCCUGCAGAUCUGCUCUGCAUGGAUCGUUUUCUCUCUCUGGUUCUUUCAAAUUCGCGUAGAUCGCUUUGUUGUCUACGUGUUGAUGGUGGUUUGAUGUUGUGAGGAUGGUUUGAGCUGAUGUUGAAUAGCUGGUUUGACCAGCUCGAGCUUGUACUCUGCGUUCUUCGAUUCAGAUUUACAGGUUCGUAUAUGUUUUUGCUUUGAUUUACGUAUCCAGAUCUGCAAUAAAGCUUCGGUGUUUAUGCCUUCGUUUGAAUUUUAUAGAUCUGUUACAAAUUGAGUUUUUUGUGUUUCUGCUUCGCACAGUUGCUGAUUCAUGUAUUUUCUUUUGUGUUCAAACAGAGAUGGCGACGGAGCUCUUAUGGAAUUUCAAGAGGUUUCAAGCCCAACGGUUCUGAGCUGGAUGCAGAUCUGAUGCUUAUGGCUGCUGAAGCUGGACCAACAGAUGUAAUUGAUAUUCGAUUCGAUGGGCAUAUUUGUAAUUUGAAGAGGGAAGCUGAAGUAUUCGGGGGUUUGGGUGUGGUUGAAUUCCGGAUGUAUAAGAUAUCGGGACGAAAGGCUCGGUGGAAGGGCUGAGUCCUGGACCGAUCUUUGUCAUCCGACCUUUGCCAUGACAGGUGCGCUUGCAUGGCAGGUCAUAAAAAUACCUCAAUAAAAAAACAAACGAUUUUUUGGUUUUGAGGGGAGACAGCAUGGGGGUUUGCCCAGGGUCUCCCCUCUGGUGUGUGUGCGCUCUGUGUCCUCCUUUCUCUUUGUUCUCUGUUUUUUUUGUUGCUCUCUUCUCCAUGCACACCAGUCGAGCACGGAUCGUGGACAUCGACAACAACGAAAUCUCGCGCCUAAAGGUAUUAUCUGCCCAAGUCUAUAUUCUUUUAGUUAAUAUUCAUCAUGGUACCCAGAUCUGCAAAUUUCACACCAAAUUCACACGAACACCUAUCUAAACAUGGUACUUAAAUCUGCAGCUACACGAUUAAUUAGUUUUAUGCGGUUUUAUUUAUCUUAAUUAACAAGGGAUUAAGCUUAUUGGGUUAUAUUAAGCAUAACUGGGGACUUGAUAGGGCUUGGUAAUAAUUUUUGUUUACAGUUUGGUAAUUGUGGAUUUCUUCAAACUACCCCACUGAUUUUGAAGGUAAUCGGGUUCGAGUUUACAUGGCUAUAUCGAUGUAGGAUACUAGUUACAUAGUAUUAACAGCAAACCGAGUAUUUUGAACCAUUAUAACCUCAAAGUAUACACCCGUAUUUUACUAAAUCCAAUACUAAUAUUUUUGGUAAGUUCCGUGUACUGAUAUUCAUUUAUUAUUCUAAAAUACUGUAAAUCAGAAGUAGUGGUAUGCUCGUCCAGAUCCCAAAUCCCUCAUCCUACCAUGCCACUCAUUUAAAAUGCCUUGCGUUACGUAUUUCGUCACAGAUUCCCAACACCUUUGCAACAUUUAUAAUUACUUAUGUUACUGCAGCUAAUUACAUGAGUUGAAAUGAAAUUUUAUGGUGUCUCGUGAGCUAUUUUAAAUAAUUAUUCAUUAUAAUCUGGAUUACAGUUUAUGGUAUGUUAUAUCUUGGGAUCUCAAAAGAUAUGGAUCCCCUGUAAUAUUCUGUAAUUUUAUAUCAUUUGGCUCCUUUUUCGUUGAGCCGUGGAUUGUAUUCCCAGUAGUUUGUUCUUAGGAGUGACUACUGGAAGCUUUCUUCGCUCUGGAGAUUGAACAAGACUUCUACCGGAUUGAAGCAGUGAGGUCGUGGGAAGGUCCAAGUCGUCUGUUGUAUGCACUCUCGUUCUGGAGAUUAUAAGGUGAAAAAUGACUGUACACCUGAAGGUUCAAUUUCUUAUGGCUUUGGAAGUUAUUCGAAGCCUUGAUUAGCAGUGUCCUACAUUUUAUUUCACCUUCAAGUUAUUGAAGUCAUUACUAUCAGCGUUUUCAAUUAUUUGACCUCAUUAUGUAUAUUUCAAUUUCAUGAUUUGUUCUGUUGAAUUUAUGCUAUUAUGAUGAUGUCUUCGGUCGAAUAAUGAAUUACUUCUGUUAAUCUAAAUCAUUGAAUCUCAAUUGUGUUUGUGGAUUGUGCAUAUGGAUGACUUAUUAUUGAGAUGAAAAAUUUAGGAUCAUGCAGAAUGGUGGAUGGGAUUUGAGGACAUGUUUUGGUUUGAAAAUGCAGGAAUGGUUCUUUUGAUUUUAUUAACUUUAUUUUGAGAACUGCAUGUAAUUAUGUGUGUAGGUUAUGUGGGAUCUUCAGUAGUUGUGGUGUAGUAUCCAUCUUCUCAUAUUAGUAGACUCUGGAAUGUUGUUUUAUAUGAAAAAAACACUUUAUUCUUAUAAUUUCAAAUCAGGAGGAGACUGUUCCAUGUUAUAAGUCGAUGUUCAUUUGUGGUUUUUGAAGAAAGGCUCUAUAUUGGGUUCCCUAUUCGAACCAGUAAUUUUAUUCUUCCAAGUGUCUCACCGCGGUUUUUUGUGAAUUGCUGGGUAUUUUUUGAACUUUGUUUCGUAAAAAUUUGUUAAGAGUUGACGAGGAGAAUGAAAACAGAGCUGUUUUAGAUUGGAAAACAUGUUAAACCCGUAAGAAACCCAGUAAACCUAAUUUCCACAAUCUAGUCUCUUGGUGAUGACCUGUGACUCUCGUCGUAAAACGUAAGCCAUAUUGGAACGGUGAGUUUCUGGUUUGGCGAUGUGAUUUUACCCGUUAUAGUGGAAGAUGCAUAGAUGUGGGUAAUUUGAGAUCAAGGUCUGUAAGCUCAAAAAUGGUAGAGCGCUCGGGUCCAUAGUUGGGCUUUGGGAGGAUGGUGGUUCGAAUCCACCCAGAUCUACAAUAACAAUACCAUUUAAUAAUGAACACAUUACUUUUUAUGAUCAAACUAUGACUUGGUGUGCCAUCAUCGUUCAUGUGUUGUUGGUUUUAUGUUUUCAUUACUCUUUAACCUCAUAUAGCUGUCAGGCAACCAAAAAAGCCCAAGGCCGGCAGCAACAGCAAACAACUGGCGGCAAAGUAGAACAAGGACCGAGGCAGGCAGCCGAAGCUGAGAGACAAAACGACACAGCCAAAAGCGAGCCAAGCAAGCAACAGUAGGCACCCAUAAUCUAAUUAUUAUUAACGAUAAAUGUCGGGUCAUUGUCUCCUGACUAAUACAUGAUUAGUGACAUACCUUUCCAUUGAAGGAAUCUUGAGGACUAUGUAGAUAUUUAUUUGUGUUUGAUUUUAAUGUCGCUUGCAUAAAAAAAAAUUUGUUUUACGUUAAAGAAACCUAGUAUGAUUUUGUUCUUCAUUUUAUGUAUCUAAAUCUAAAGGUUGUGACCUAUGAAAUUUGAUGUUAAUGCGUGCAACUAGACCGGGGAUGCCCUAUUUGAAUACUAGUUAUAUGGUUUUAUGUCGGUUACCGAUUUGUUAAAGGAAAAAAGAAUAAGUUGGGCCUAAAACACCAGCCCAAUUCUCGUUUUUCCGGGCCGUAGUCUCUUUAUCUUUUUUCUUAGGUCCGGCCCGGUUAAAAUUAUUCAAGGACUGUAAUUUCGAGCUUGGGCUGUUCCAAAUUCCGAAAUGUCUAGAAGGAAAUAUAGUAAUUGGCGCGAGGGAAACCUAAUUAUAGUUAUGACCCAGCUGUCAAGGCGGCAAAAUUAACGUGUCGUGGUUGAUACGGUCAAAAACAGUAACGUGGAAAAUUAUACCACCGCUCUAACCACCCACCCACCCACGUUAUAACAUUCCAGCCGUCGAUCUUAAAGAUAAGGGCGCAAUCGCAGCCGUCCAUCGCAUUUAUACUAUUAUAAAAGUAGGUUAGGUUUGGUUGGAUCCAAACCAUUCAACGUCUCAACGUUAUCUCUCUCCUCUUUCUCUUCACAUCUCUAUGCGCCUCAAUGGUUCUUCUCCUGCAGAUCUGUUCUGCAAGGAUUGUUUUCUCUUACUUUGUGUCGGAUUCGCGUAGGUCUUAUCGAGAUCUACGUUUUCAUGGUGAUUUGAGGCUGUGAAGAUGUUUUGAGCUGCUGGUUCAUAGCUGGUUUUACCAGCUCGAGCUCGUCUUCUUCGUGCUUUGGCUCAGAUUUACAGGUUCGUCUAUGUUUUUUAUUCUUUUAACUUAUCUAGAUUUCGAAGAAGGCUAUACUGUUUAUGCUUUCGUUUAAAUUGUUAGAUUUGCUAGAAUUCAGCUCAACAGUUUCUGCUUCAUGCAGGUUUUGAUUGAUGAUGAUGGAGUUCAUAGCAAGUCGUCGGAGAUUCCAAGAUUUGACCGUUUUGUGCCAAAUCCGACGUCGUUUCAGCUGCAGAUCUGGUUCUUCUGGAGUCUAGCGUAUGUUUAUUCGAUAUUCGAAUUGAAUAAUUGUAAUUUGAUGAUCGGGAAGGUCAAAGCUGGGGUGUUUAGGGAUGAUUGGGUUGUGCAACGGAUGUAUAAGAUGUCGGGACGAAAGGCUCAGAGGGAGGGUCUGUGUCCUGGACCGAUCUUUGUCAUCCGACCUUUGCCAUGACAGGUGCGCUUGCAUGGCAGGUCACAAAAAUACCUUAAUAAAAAAACAGAAACGAUUUUUUGGUUUGGAGGGGAGAUUGCAUGGGGUUUUGCCCAGGGUCUCUCCCUCUGUUGUGUGGUGUGUGAUCUGUGUCGUCCUCUCUUUACUCUGUUUUAUUUUUCGCUCUCCUGCUCAUCCAAGCAU
rnacentral:lncRNA from 1 species